CAUGACAGUGUGACUGUGAACCAGCAUGCUUAACUCCAAGACCCUGAAACUGAAGCAGCUAAAUGUAAUUCAAUUUUCAUUCAUUUUAUUUUUUUUACACCUGUGAAACUACUACAGUGACAUGUCAGACAUUUAUCAGCUUGUUUAAUCAGCGCACAUGGAUUGGUCUGACUGAUGAAGAGAGCGAAAAUGUUUGGAAAUGGGUUGAUGGAACGUCACCAGACAAAGAUGAUCCAGACGACAAGGACAGUAUAGUGAACAUCUACGUCAGCGCUGAAAGCCUGAGAGUGUAUGAGAAUCCCUGGGAUGAGGUCACGCCAACAAAUACAUCACCUGCAGCGGCUCAGC